CCGGUGGCGAAAGGCGGCCCCCUGGACGAAGACUGACGCUCAGGUGCGAAAGCGUGGGAGCAAACAGGAUUAGGAUACCCUGGUAGUCCACGCCGUAAACGAUGUCGACUUGGAGGUUGUGCCCUUGAGGCGUGGCUUCCGGAGCUAACGCGUUAAGUCGACCGCCUGGGGAGUACGGCCGCAAGGUUAAAACUCAAAUGAAUUGACGGGGCCCGCACAAGCGGUGGAGCAUGUGGUUUAAUUCGAUGCAACGCGAAGAACUUACCCCCUGGUCUUGACAUCCACAGAACUUUCCAGAGAUGGAUUGGUGCCUUCGGGAACUGUGAGACAGGUGCUGCAUGGCUGUCGUCAGCUCGUGUUGUGAAAUGUUGGGUUAAGUCCCGCAACGAGCGCAACCCUUAUCCUUUGUUGCCAGCGGUCCGGCCGGGAACUCAAAGGAGACUGCCAGUGAUAAACUGGAGGAAGGUGGGGAUGACGUCAAGUCAUCAUGGCCCUUACGACCAGGGCUACACACGUGCUACAAUGGCGCAUACAAAGAGAAGCGACCUCGCGAGAGCAAGCGGACCUCAUAAAGUGCGUCGUAGUCCGGAUUGGAGUCUGCAACUCGACUCCAUGAAGUCGGAAUCGCUAGUAAUCGUGGAUCAGAAUGCCACGGUGAAUACGUUCCCGGGCCUUGUACACACCGCCCGUCACACCAUGGGAGUGAGUUGCAAAAGAAGUAGGUAGCUUAACCUUCGGGAGGGCGCUUACCACUUUGUGAUUCAUGACUGGGGUGAAGUCGUAACAAGGUAACCGUAGGGGAACCUGCGGUUG
rnacentral:rRNA from 1 species